ACUAAUUAGAACCACUAAGGGGCGGGAUCUCCUGCCCUCUCGAUUGUCGGGAAGCGCGGACAGACUAAACGUUGAGGGGUCGUUCCCCACUCAGCGCGACGAUUAAAGCUUCUCACCAAUCUUCGAGGGUAGCGCUGCUACCCUUUUUUUUCUGGA
rfam:Leclercia adecarboxylata strain I1 Leclercia_S84_R1__paired__contig_2, whole genome shotgun sequence.